GACGAAUGCGGCGUGCUAUACAUGCAAGUCGAACGAACUCUGGUAUUGAUUGGUGCUUGCAUCAUGAUUUACAUUUGAGUGAGUGGCGAACUGGUGAGUAACACGUGGGAAACCUGCCCAGAAGCGGGGGAUAACACCUGGAAACAGAUGCUAAUACCGCAUAACAACUUGGACCGCAUGGUCCGAGCUUGAAAGAUGGCUUCGGCUAUCACUUUUGGAUGGUCCCGCGGCGUAUUAGCUAGAUGGUGGGGUAACGGCUCACCAUGGCAAUGAUACGUAGCCGACCUGAGAGGGUAAUCGGCCACAUUGGGACUGAGACACGGCCCAAACUCCUACGGGAGGCAGCAGUAGGGAAUCUUCCACAAUGGACGAAAGUCUGAUGGAGCAACGCCGCGUGAGUGAAGAAGGGUUUCGGCUCGUAAAACUCUGUUGUUAAAGAAGAACAUAUCUGAGAGUAACUGUUCAGGUAUUGACGGUAUUUAACCAGAAAGCCACGGCUAACUACGUGCCAGCAGCCGCGGUAAUACGUAGGUGGCAAGCGUUGUCCGGAUUUAUUGGGCGUAAAGCGAGCGCAGGCGGUUUUUUAAGUCUGAUGUGAAAGCCUUCGGCUCAACCGAAGAAGUGCAUCGGAAACUGGGAAACUUGAGUGCAGAAGAGGACAGUGGAACUCCAUGUGUAGCGGUGAAAUGCGUAGAUAUAUGGAAGAACACCAGUGGCGAAGGCGGCUGUCUGGUCUGUAACUGACGCUGAGGCUCGAAAGUAUGGGUAGCAAACAGGAUUAGAUACCCUGGUAGUCCAUACCGUAAACGAUGAAUGCUAAGUGUUGGAGGGUUUCCGCCCUUCAGUGCUGCAGCUAACGCAUUAAGCAUUCCGCCUGGGGAGUACGGCCGCAAGGCUGAAACUCAAAGGAAUUGACGGGGGCCCGCACAAGCGGUGGAGCAUGUGGUUUAAUUCGAAGCUACGCGAAGAACCUUACCAGGUCUUGACAUACUAUGCAAAUCUAAGAGAUUAGACGUUCCCUUCGGGGACAUGGAUACAGGUGGUGCAUGGUUGUCGUCAGCUCGUGUCGUGAGAUGUUGGGUUAAGUCCCGCAACGAGCGCAACCCUUAUUAUCAGUUGCCAGCAUUAAGUUGGGCACUCUGGUGAGACUGCCGGUGACAAACCGGAGGAAGGUGGGGAUGACGUCAAAUCAUCAUGCCCCUUAUGACCUGGGCUACACACGUGCUACAAUGGAUGGUACAACGAGUUGCGAACUCGCGAGAGUAAGCUAAUCUCUUAAAGCCAUUCUCAGUUCGGAUUGUAGGCUGCAACUCGCCUACAUGAAGUCGGAAUCGCUAGUAAUCGCGGAUCAGCAUGCCGCGGUGAAUACGUUCCCGGGCCUUGUACACACCGCCCGUCACACCAUGAGAGUUUGUAACACCCAAAGUCGGUGGGGUAACCUUUUAGGAACCAGCCGCCUAAGGUGACAGAUAUUGG
rnacentral:rRNA from 1 species